GUUUAGUUCUUCAACCGAAGUAUAAAUUUCAAACUAUGUAACUGCAAAAUAUUUAAUUUUUUUAAUUUUCAUUAUUAAGCAUCUGGCAACAUGAUAAAUUAAAUUAAUGAAUAAAACUAAAUUAUAAACCAGUCUUAGAUUUCAAUACACCGAAAACGUCAGGCCCUAAAGAGAAAAUUAAAUACACACACCUAUAUAAACAACGUAAUAUCAUUCAGAAAUCUCUGUCGAAGUUUGUCGUUUUAUUCCCUCUUUUAUUAUUUAUUUAAACGACAGCAAUGCGUUUGUAAAUACUACACAAAAGCAUUCAGUUUUCAUUUAACUCGUCUAAGGUGUAGAUCGUAAUAUCACCUGCUAACUAAAACUAACCAGCGAUCGAUCGGUUGUGUUUAAAACGUUUCAUACGUGUUCAAAAGUGUGCGAACUUUGGUUUAAAAAAAAAAAAAAACAUAUCAAUAUAAUACAAAAAAAUUGAAGAAAUUUUAAACUUUGUACAUUUUUUUCUUACUUUUUGAUUGCGGUUUUUAAAAAGCUUUUUCCAAAUAUUCCACAAAAGAGGAACUUGCUUCAAUAAUCUUCAUUUAUAAAAAAGCUAUUUAAACUCAUUAUUUAUUAACUACUAAACUUGUUUGUUAUUUCUUGAAAAACGUUG